rnacentral:rRNA from 1 species
CCUACGUGAGGCAGCAGUGGGGAAUAUUGCACAAUGGGGGAAACCCUGAUGCAGCGACGCCGCGUGAGUGAAGAAGUAAUUCGUUAUGUAAAGCUCUAUCAGCAGGGAAGAAAAUGACGGUACCUGAGUAAGAAGCCCCGGCUAACUACGUGCCAGCAGCCGCGGUAAUACGUAGGGGGCAAGCGUUAUCCGGAUUUACUGGGUGUAAAGGGAGCGUAGACGGCAGUACAAGUCUGGAGUGAAAGGCGGGGGCUCAACCCCCGGACUGCUCUGGAAACUGUACGGCUGGAGUGCAGGAGAGGUAAGUGGAAUUCCUAGUGUAGCGGUGAAAUGCGUAGAUAUUAGGAGGAACACCAGUGGCGAAGGCGGCUUACUGGACUGUAACUGACGUUGAGGCUCGAAAGCGUGGGGAGCAAACAGGAUUAGAUACCCGAGUAGUC